UAAGAUUGUGUGUGUUCCUUCCACUGUGUCCAAGGAGAGGAAAAAGCCACAGCCCGCAGAGAAACUGACUCAGCUAGAGCGCUCAGAGCCCACUGGACCCAGUGGGAGGGGAGAGAACUGAGAAUUGGGCCCCAGAAGGGCAAGAAAGGAGGCUGGAGGACCAAGAGAGCGCCUCAAAGACCAGGCUCCGGGCAUCUCUCAAGAAGAGAAGGUCAAAGGAUCAGACGAGGCUUUGGCUGACAAACAAGUAGCCAUAGAGAACCGGACAAGCCCACA